rnacentral:tRNA from 1 species
GAGCCUGUAGCGCAGUCUGGCAGAUCUUUGCUUUGGUGCUUGGAUUUGGAUAAAUAGCGCGAUUGCCUCCUAAGCAAUAGGUCGUGAGUUCAAAUCUCACCAGGCUCG